UACGUAGGGUGCGAGCGUUAAUCGGAAUUACUGGGCGUAAAGCGUGCGCAGGCGGUGAUGUAAGACAGGUGUGAAAUCCCCGGGCUUAACCUGGGAACUGCAUUUGUGACUGCAUCGCUGGAGUGCGGCAGAGGGGGAUGGAAUUCCUGGUGUAGCAGUGAAAUGCGUAGAUAUCAGGAGGAACACCGAUGGCGAAGGCAGGUCUCUGGGCUGACACUGACGCUCAUGCACGAAAGCGUGGGGAGCAAACAGG
rnacentral:rRNA from 1 species